AAGGCCUGAUGUGUGUGAGAUUACCCGCUGAAUUUAAGCAUAUAAGUAAGCGGAGGAAAAGAAACUAACUAGGAUUCCCUUAGUAAUGGCGAAUGAACAGGGAUCAGCUCAGUGCCAAAUCGGAAUCACUUGUGGUUCUGAAAUGUGGCUUGAAGGCAGUACCAGUGGCAUCGCGGACGAAAGUCUCUUGGAAAAGAGCGUCAUAGAGGGUGAGAAUCCCGUGAGUCGUUCGCCGUUUGUCACGUACGGUCUGCGUUCUAACGAGUCGCGUUCCUUGGGAUUGGAGCGUAAACGGGUGGUAAAUUUCAUCCAAAGCAAAAUAUAUACUCGAGACCGAUAGCACAAAAGUACCGUGAGGGAAAGGUGAAAAGAACUUUGAGAAGAGGGUUAAAUAGUGCCUGAAAUCGUUGAGAAGGAAGCGGAUGCCGCCGUUGCAUAUGCUGAUUGUAGGAUUGCUGCUCGCUCCUUCUUCUGCUACUC
rnacentral:ncRNA from 1 species